UACGAAGGGGGCUAGCGUUGUUCGGAUUUACUGGGCGUAAAGCGCACGUAGGCGGAUCUUUAAGUCAGAGGUGAAAUCCCAAGGCUCAACCUUGGAACUGCCUUUGAUACUGGGGAUCUGAGUCCGGGAGAGGUGAGUGGAACUGCGAGUGUAGAGGUGAAAUUCGUAGAUAUUCGCAAGAACACCAGUGGCGAAGGCGGCUCACUGGCUCGGUACUGACGCUGAGGUGGCGAAAGCGUGGGGAGCAAACAGG
rnacentral:rRNA from 1 species